rnacentral:rRNA from 1 species
CGUACAAGCAGUGGGAGCCUACUUUGUUGGGUGACUGCGUACCUUUUGUAUAAUGGGUCAGCGACUUAUAUUUUGUAGCAAGGUUAACCGUAUAGGGGAGCCGUAGGGAAACCGAGUCUUAACUGGGCGAAUAGUUGCAAGGUAUAGACCCGAAACCCGGUGAUCUAGCCAUGGGCAGGUUGAAGGUUGGGUAACACUAACUGGAGGACCGAACCGACUAAUGUUGAAAAAUUAGCGGAUGACUUGUGGCUGGGGGUGAAAGGCCAAUCAAACCGGGAGAUAGCUGGUUCUCCCCGAAAGCUAUUUAGGUAGCGCCUCGUGAACUCAUCUUCGGGGGUAGAGCACUGUUUCGGCUAGGGGGCCAUCCCGGCUUACCAAACCGAUGCAAACUCCGAAUACCGAAGAAUGUUAUCACGGGAGACACACGGCGGGUGCUAACGUCCGUCGUGAAGAGGGAAACAACCCAGACCGCCAGCUAAGGUCCCAAAGUCAUGGUUAAGUGGGAAACGAUGUGGGAAGGCAUAGACAGCCAGGAUGUUGGCUUAGAAGCAGCCAUCAUUUAAAGAAAGCGUAAUAGCUCACUGGUCGAGUCGGCCUGCGCGGAAGAUGUAACGGGGCUAAACCAUGCACCGAAGCUGCGGCAGCGACGCUUAGGCGUUGUUGGGUAGGGGAGCGUUCUGUAAGCCGUUGAAGGUGGCCUGUGAGGGUUGCUGGAGGUAUCAGAAGUGCGAAUGCUGACAUAAGUAACGAUAAAGCGGGUGAAAAACCCGCUCGCCGGAAGACCAAGGGUUCCUGUCCAACGUUAAUCGGGGCAGGGUGAGUCGACCCCUAAGGCGAGGCCGAAAGGCGUAGUCGAUGGGAAACAGGUUAAUAUUCCUGUACUCGGUGUUACUGCGAAGGGGGGACGGAGAAGGCUAGGCUAGCCGGGCGACGGUUGUCCCGGUUUAAGCGUGUAGGGGGAGUGACUUGGUAAAUCCGGUUACUUAUUCAACCCUGAGGCGUGAUGACGAUGCACUACGGUGCAGAAGUAGUUGAUGCCAAGCUUCCAGGAAAAGCCUCUAAGCAUCAGGUAACAUCAAAUCGUACCCCAAACCGACACAGGUGGUCAGGUAGAGAAUACCAAGGCGCUUGAGAGAACUCGGGUGAAGGAACUAGGCAAAAUGGUGCCGUAACUUCGGGAGAAGGCACGCUGGCGCGUAGGUGAAGAGACUUGCUCUCGGAGCUGAAGCCAGUCGCAGAUACCAGCUGGCUGCAACUGUUUAAUAAAAACACAGCACUGUGCAAACACGAAAGUGGACGUAUACGGUGUGACGCCUGCCCGGUGCCGGAAGGUUAAUUGAUGGGGUUAUCCGUAAGGAGAAGCUCUUGAUCGAAGCCCCGGUAAACGGCGGCCGUAACUAUAACGGUCCUAAGGUAGCGAAAUUCCUUGUCGGGUAAGUUCCGACCUGCACGAAUGGCGUA